GCCUUCCCAGGGCCGCGGGGCCCCAUUCCCUGCCCGUGCCCCACCGCGCCCCGCGCGCUCCCGGCGGCGUGGCGUAGGCAGUGCAGCCCCCGCCUGAGCCGAGCGACCCGCCAUCCGCUUAGGGACCGCGGUGGCCUUCGGCUCGGCCCCGCCGAGUCGCAGACCAUCACUCUUGGUGCUUUCGGCCCAGGCGCCUGUCCCCACUCCAGGGUCCUGGAGAAAAGCCUGCCGUACCUUCCACGGCUUCCUCCACUACCUCGUCGUCGCUAUCCAUGGCAGCUGCGACCCUACCCAGCACGGGGCCGUGCGUCCGGCUCCGGUCCCUCCGGGUGCUGGCGGUGGCUGAGCGAACGCAGGAGCUAAGCCCUUCGAGUUUGGAGGGGGAGGAGGGGGAGGA
rnacentral:lncRNA from 1 species